rnacentral:rRNA from 1 species
GACAGCAGUCGCCACGGUAAUACGAAGGGUGCAAGCGUUAAUCGGAAUUACUGGGCGUAAAGCGCACGCAGGCGGUUUGUCAAGUCAGAUGUGAAAUCCCCGAGCUUAACUUGGGAACUGCAUUUGAAACUGGCAAGCUAGAGUCUUGUAGAGGGGGGUAGAAUUCCAGGUGUAGCGGUGAAAUGCGUAGAGAUCUGGAGGAAUACCGAUGGCGAAGGCAAUCCCCUGGACCUGUACUGACGCUCAUGCACGAAAGCGUGGGGAGCAAACAGGAUUAGAUACCCCUGUAGUCCCUGUCUCUUAUAC